UACGUAGGCAGCGAGCGUUGUUCGGAAUUACUGGGCGUAAAGAGUGUGUAGGCGGUGUUCCCAGUCUGUUGUGAAAUCUCCCGGCUUAACUGGGAGGGUGCAGCGGAAACUAGAAUGCUAGAGGGUGGGAGAGGUAAGCGGAAUUCCUGGUGUAGCGGUGAAAUGCGUAGAUAUCAGGAGGAACACCGGUGGCGAAGGCGGUGAUCUGGGCCGACACUGACGCUGUAGAGCGAAAGCGUGGGUAGCAAACAGG
rnacentral:rRNA from 1 species